rnacentral:rRNA from 1 species
GAUCGGCUCAGGAUGAACGCUAGCUACAGGCUUAACACAUGCAAGUCGAGGGGCAGCAUGGUCUUAGCUUGCUAAGGCCGAUGGCGACCGGCGCACGGGUGAGUAACACGUAUCCAACCUGCCGUCUACUCUUGGACAGCCUUCUGAAAGGAAGAUCAAUACAAGAUGGCAUCAUGAGUCCGCAUGUUCACAUGAUUAAAGGUAUUCUGGUAGACGAUGGGGA